CUGUUUCAGCACCAUCGUUAUGCAGGGGAUCAGUCCACAGACCUCGUGUGUUCAUGAAGGCUGUCAGCCGGGGAGUGGACCCGGCUAUAGCUUCGCUGUGGGGUCGGCCAGCACCGUUUCCAUUGAUACGUUUGGGCGUUCUGAUUGCGGACAGAACGUUGUCUCCCUUCGUGUCACCGGGGAGUUCUCCCAUUCCCUUCAACGCCUCAAAGGCUGAAGAGAAGAGUUUGGCAAGAAAGGUAUUCAGCUUUCAGAAGCCUCUUCAUGGAAUGAGCCUCAAAGCAAGCUGGGACGGAGAAUGCUGGUCGCCCUGACAGAAUACAAGCCAAUGGUCAGACCUCGGCCUGAAAUGGAUGAAGUCCGCCCCUCCCAGCCUGAUCCGUCUCCAUGGAGAUCACGUCGCCCCUCUCUGUCUUCAGCAUACCAGUGCCCGCUUGGUUUGUGACGCCAGCGCUAGCUUGAGGAAUGAUCUCUGCCGUCUCCCUGGCUAAACCCUGUCUUCAACACGCACGCACGCACGCACACAUACAUACACAC
ensembl:lncRNA